ensembl:lincRNA
GGCUGCGGCUCCUGCCAGGCCCUUAUUGUGCUGGUGAAAAGGCCAAGUGAGUCUCAGCCUAUUCCCAUCCAGAGACAUUCUGGAAUAGGAUCCUGGUACAUUUCUGCCUUAGGGUUGUGUGUGAGUCUGUGUGUGUAUUUUAAGUUUGAAAGAAGACUGGCUUGGCUCUUAUACAAUCUCUACUCUGAAGUACAUCUGGCAAAGACACCGUGGCUCUUUGGAGGCUGUUGAUUCCACGGUGAAUAGAACAGGGCCAGCAUGCCCCGGGAUGAGGCAUGUCAAAGGAGCAUCCAACCGCAGUCUCCAGGAGGAAGAGAUGUUGCAUCCUACUCCAGCCAUGCCACAUCACCACGCCCAAGCAAUCCCGCAGGACAAGGACCACAUGGCCCCUGUGAGAUGUUCUCUGUGGGAAGCAUGAAGUUCACAGUGCACCUGCUAGGUUUGGCG